CCUACGGGAGACAGCAGUGAGGAAUUUUCUGCAAUGGGCGAAAGCCUGACAGAGCAAUACCGCGUGAGGGAAGAAGGCUUACUGAGUUGUAAACCUCGGUGCCUUAAGGAAGAAGAUCUGACGGUACUUAAGGUGGAAAGCAUCGGCUAACCCCGUGCCAGCAGCCGCGGUAAGACGGGGGAUGCAAGUGUUAUCCGGAAUCACUGGGCGUAAAGCGUCUGCAGGUGGUUUCUUAAGUCCACUGUUAAACCCUUGAGGCUCAACCUCAAAUCUGCAGUGGAAACUAAGAAACUUGAGGAUAGUAGGGGUAGAGGGAAUUUCCAGUGGAGCGGUGAAAUGCGUAGAUAUUGGAAAGAACACCGAUGGCGAAGGCACUCUACUGGGCUAUGACUGACACUCAGAGACGAAAGCUAGGGGAGCAAAUGGGAUUAGAUACCCCAGUAGUCCUAGCCGUAAACGAUGAUACUCGAUGUGUACGUAGUCGUACCGUACGUACGUAUACUAGUACUACGUACGUACGUACUCCGUCCGUCGGGUAGGUACGUCGUCGCGAGAGUAGAACGUACAAUAGUAGUAGACGGCGUGAGACGUGCGACGGACGACGACGAGGGAGGUAGG
rnacentral:rRNA from 1 species